AGAGUUUGAUCCUGGCUCAGAAUCAACGCUGGCGGCGCGCUUAACACAUGCAAGUCGCACGAGAAAGUGGGAAACCAUGAGUACAGUGGCGUACGGGUGAGUAACACGUGGGUAAUCUACCUCUGAGUGGGGAAUAACCCUGGGAAACCGGGGCUAAUACCGCAUAAUCUCGAGAGAGGAAAGCAGCAAUGCGCUGAGAGAGGAGCCCGCGGCCGAUUAGCUAGUUGGUAGGGUAAGAGCCUACCAAGGCAGAGAUCGGUAGCCGGCCUGAGAGGGCACACCGGCCCACUGGCACUGAAACACGGGCCAGACUCCUACGGGAGGCAGCAGUGGGGAAUCUUGCACAAUGGGGGAAACCCUGAUGCAGCGACGCCGCGUGAGCGAUGAAGCCCUUCGGGGUGUAAAGCUCUUUCGUCAGGGAAGAUGAUGACGGUACCUGGAGAAGCAGCUGCGGCUAACUACGUGCCAGCAGCCGCGGUAAUACGUAGGCAGCGAGCGUUGUUCGGAGUUACUGGGCGUAAAGGGUGUGUAGGCGGUUCUUUAAGUUUGGUGUGAAAUCUCCCGGCUCAACCGGGAGGGUGCGCCGAAUACUGAGGGACUUGGAGUGCGGGAGAGGAAAGUGGAAUUCCUGGUGUAGCGGUGAAAUGCGUAGAUAUCAGGAGGAACACCGGUGGUGUAGACGGCUUUCUGGACCGUAACUGACGCUGAGACACGAAAGCGUGGGUAGCAAACAGGAUUAGAUACCCUGGUAGUCCACGCCCUAAACGAUGCAUAUUUGGUGUGGGUCAUUCAGUUGAUCCGUGCCGGAGCUAACGCGUUAAAUAUGCCGCCUGGGGAGUACAGUCGCAAGCUGAAACUCAAAGGAAUUGACGGGGGCCCGCACAAGCGGUGGGAGCAUGGUGGUUCAAUUCGACGCACGCG
rnacentral:rRNA from 1 species